rnacentral:rRNA from 1 species
UACAGAGGGUGCUAACGUUGUUCGGAAUCACUGGGCUUAAAGCGCACGUAGGCGGCUAGGCAAGUGCGAUGUGAAAGCCCCCGGCCCAACCGGGGAACUGCAUCGUAGACUGCCUGGCUUGAGAGCGGUAGGGGAGACUAGAACUCCUGGUGGAGCGGUGAAAUGCGCAGAUAUCAGGAGGAACACCGGUGGCGAAGGCGGAUCUCUGGGCCAUUACUGACGCUGAGGAGCGAAAGCGUGGGGAGCGAACAGG